rnacentral:rRNA from 1 species
AUGCAAGUCGAACGAGAAAGGUUUCUUCGGAGACCGAGUAAAGUGGCGCACGGGUGAGUAACGCGUAGAUAACCUAUCUUCAUGUUCGGGAUACUCCACCGAAAGGUGGCCCAAUACCGGAUAUGCUUGAAUUUCAUAAGUUAUGCAAGCAAAGGUGGCCUCUAUUUAUAAGCUAUCGCAUGAAGCGGGGUCUGCGUACCAUUAGCUAGUUGGUGGGGUAAUGGCCUACCAAGGCUACGAUGGUUAGCGGGUCUGAGAGGAUGAUCCGUCACACUGGCACUGGAACACGGGCCAGACUCCUACGGGAGGCAGCAGUGAGGAAUAUUGCGCAAUGGGGGAAACCCUGACGCAGCGACGCCGCGUGAGUGAGGAAGGCCUUCGGGUCGUAAAACUCUGUCAGAAGGGAAGAAAUGCAAGACUGUUAAUACCUAUUUUGUUUGACGGUACCUUCAAAGGAAGCACCGGCUAACUCCGUGCCAGCAGCCGCGGUAAUACG